rnacentral:lncRNA from 1 species
GUUUGAAUUUGGGGUUUAGUUUAACGACUUUUCGGUCGUUUGAAAUUUGGGUUUAGUUUAACGACUUUUCGGUCGUUUGAAUAUGGGUUUAGUUUAACGACUUUUCGGUCGUUUGAAAUUGAGAUUUUCAUGAAGCUGAUUCAUGAAAUUAAUUCAUGCUAGGAGCCCGUUUGUAAAGUCCACCAAGUUAUUUGAUGAAAUUAAUUCAUGAUAGGGGCCAUUUGGAGAGCCCAUUGGUUCAUGAUAUUAAUUUAUGACAAAGAGGACCCAUGAAACUAAUUCAUAGAAUUAAUUCGUGAUAGGGGAUACAUUUGGAAAGCCCAAAAAAUU